UACGGAGGGGGCGAGCGUUAUUCGGAAUCACUGGGCGUAAAGGGUGCGUAGGCUGCUUAGCAAGUCAGAAGUGAAAUCCCCGGGCUUAACCCGGGAAUUGCUUUUGAAACUGCUUUGCUUGAAUCCGAGAGAGGUUAGGAGAAUUCCCAGUGUAGAGGUAAAAUUCGUAGAUAUUGGGAGGAAUACCAGUGGCGUAGGCGCCUAACUGGAUCGGUAUUGACGAUGAGGCACGAAAGCGUGGGUAGCAAACAGG
rnacentral:rRNA from 1 species